rnacentral:rRNA from 1 species
UACGAAGGGGGCUAGCGUUGUUCGGAAUUACUGGGCGUAAAGGGCGCGUAGGCUGUGCUGUAAGUCAGGCGUGAAAUCCCCGGGCUCAACCUGGGAAUUGCGUUUGAUACUGCGGCGCUGGAAUGCAGGAGAGGAUGGCGGGAUUCCCAGUGUAGAGGUGAAAUUCGUAGAUAUUGGGAAGAACACCGGUGGCGAAGGCGGCCAUCUGGCCUGUAAUUGACGCUGAGGCGCGAAAGCGUGGGGAGCAAACAGG